CUGAACAGGCAUUUUGAAGUAAGGAAUUGGCGAGCGAUUGCAAAAGAUUUCGACUGAUGUACCUACGUAGAUUAGUGCUGGUUUUCUGUUUCGUAUUAGUGAGAAUGCGAUUUUGUUUAUUUUCCUGUUGGGAUAUCUAGCUUCUCAUAGAGUUUUUAUGCAUUUGGUUAUAAAUGCGAAAAUGUGUUUCAAGAUUUGUUUUUUUGGAUUUGGGAAAACUGUGAACAGCAUUUGUGUUCAAUUGAUCACGCGAAAGUUCUUCAACAUAAAGCCUACACAACAUCUCAAGGCUUUUCAUAUAUACCACAAAAAAAAGGUGUGAUUAUCAAUACAAAUAAGUUGGGCUGUUAAGACGGUUCUGGAGAUCUGUGUAUCCUGGGACUUAUCCUGGAAUUGGUGGCAUAAAGAUAAGUUUUGUGUUUGUAUCGUUUCCAACAUCAACAGUCAGGUCCAGUAUAUUUUGAUUCUCUUAUUGCUUUCACAAGUAAUCGUUCAAGCGAAAUCCAAUUGGGCAUUACCCUGUUUGAAGAAAAAAAACAAUGAGUGAUAUUUAUUUAUAGUGUUUUUUUAAUUUAUAAUUGAGUUUACUAAAGUCAAGGAGUUCCAUUAUGUAGUUUGUUGAGAAUUACGAUAUAUUUGGAAAAGUAUGUUAGCCGAAAUAUAGAUCUAUACGGAGGUAUAAAAAUUAAGUGUUACAAAGUUUAAUAUCAAAAAUAUCGUCAUAAGUGUCACAAACAAUAAAUUACGUGAACAUUGACGUUACUAAUUCCUUUUUACUGUGUCGAAAUAAAUUGUCUCUGAACUA